AUUGAACGCUGGCGGCAUGCCUUACACAUGCAAGUCGAACGGUAACAGGUUAAGCUGACGAGUGGCGAACGGGUGAGUAAUAUAUCGGAACGUGCCCAGUCGUGGGGGAUAACGUAGCGAAAGCUACGCUAAUACCGCAUACGAUCUACGGAUGAAAGCGGGGGAUCGCAAGACCUCGCGCGAUUGGAGCGGCCGAUAACAGAUUAGGUUGUUGGUGAGGUAAAAGCUCACCAAGCCUGCGAUCUGUAGCUGGUCUGAGAAGACGACCAGCCACAGUGGAACUGAGACACGGUCCAGACUCCUACGGGAGGCAGCAUUGGGGAAUUUUGGACAAUGGACGCAAGUCUGAUCCAGCAAUGCCGCGUGCAGGACGAAGGCCUUCGGGUUGUAAACUGCUCUUGUACGGAACGAAACGGUGAGCUCUAAUACAGUUUGCUAAUGACGGUACCGUAAGAAUAAGCACCGGCUAACUACGUGCCAGCCGCCGCUGUAA
rnacentral:rRNA from 1 species